ensembl:lncRNA
GGACUGGUUGUUGUGGAACUAAGAGGGACUGGUUGUUGUGGAACUAAGAGGGACUGGUUGUUGUGGAACUAAGAGGGACUGGUUAUUGUGGAACUAAGAGGGACUGGUUGUUGUGGAACUAAGAGGGACUGGUUGUUGUGGAACUAAGAGGGACUGGUUGUUGUGGAGUGAAGAGGGACUGGUUGUUGUGGAACUAAGAGGGACUGGUUGUUGUGGAACUAAGAGGGACUGGUUGUUGUGGAACUAAGAGGGACUGGUUGUUGUGGAACUAAGAGGGACUGGUUGUUGUGGAACUAAUAGGGACUGGUUGUUGUGGAGUUAAGAGGGACUGGUUGUUGUGGAACUAAGAGGGACUGGUUGUUGUGGAACUAAGAGGGACUGGUUGUUGUGGAACUAAGAGGGACUGGUUGCUGUGGAACUAAGAGGGACUGGUUGUUGUGGAACUAAGAGGGACUGGUUGUUGUGGAACUAAGAGGGACUGGUUGUUGUGGAACUAAGAGGGACUGGUUGCUGUGGAACUAAGAGGGACUGGUUGUUGUGGAACUAAGAGGGACUGGUUGUUGUGGAACUAAGAGGGACUGGUUGUUGUGGAACUAAGAGGGACUGGUUGUUGUGGAACUAAGAGGGACUGGUUGUUGUGGAACUAAGAGGGACUGGUUGCUGUGGAGCUAAGAGGGACCCCCCUUCCCUCCCACAGAGACACAUGUAUCUGUGAGGUCAGGGUUCUUCUUUCCUUGUAGUCAGCUACAGGUAGAUUCAAUUCAAUUCAACAGCCACUCCAUUGUUCUUCCACUGACAAAUUGUCUUCCUGCUGUACCAGAUAAACUCCACUAUUAAUCAAUGUUGCUGCUGUAUCGUAUCGACUCAUUUCAUUAAUUUUUGUUUCAUUCUACUGUUUGUAAUUAUUGUGAUGAAUAAAAAAAUGUGAUUUUGAUUAAAUAUGUUGUGGUUGAGUCUAUCAGAACCUCUUGAACAAUGCCUCUUGACUCUCACCAAGUCCCUACAGAAUAGUCAUCAGCUUGAACAACUCAAGAUUCUCCAUAGAAGCAUUGGCAGGAAAGAAACUAGGCCAUACCACUCAUAACCACUAGAGGUCAGGCUAUAACCAUGAGACUGGUGUACUACCACUCAUAACCACUAGAGGUCAGGCUAAACCUGAGACUGGUGUACUACCACUCAUAACCACUAGAGGUCAGGCUAAACCUGAGACUGGUGCUAUCACUGGAUCUGUUACAUGUUUCAUUGUGUGUGUGGGAAUGGGGGGGAUGACUGGAAAAUAGCUUUAAAACAUUUUUCUCAUGGCACAGUGUGUAGAAUAGAAGGAAAAUGUACUUUCUUUUGUUGCAUUAUUUAAACGUAUCAAUUAUCACCCAGGGGAAUUUUAUAAGGACAUUUUUUUAUUUUUGGAAUUCUUCUAAAUAUUAUCAAU